rnacentral:rRNA from 1 species
CACGUAGUUAGCCGGCGCUCCUUCUGCAGGUACCGUCACUUUCGCUUCUUCCCUGCUGAAAGGGGUUUACAACCCGAAGGCCUUCAUCCCCCACGCGGCGUCGCUGCAUCAGGCUUUCGCCCAUUGUGCAAUAUUCCCCACUGCUGCCUCCCGUAGGAGUCUGGGCCGUGUCUCAGUCCCAGUGUGGCCGGUCGCCCUCUCAGGCCGGCUACCCGUCGUCGCCUUGGUGGGCCAUUACCCCACCAACUAGCUGAUAGGCCGCGAGUCCAUCCCAGACCGAAAUUCUUUCCAGACGCUACAGAUGCCUGUGCGUCUCGUAUCCGGUAUUAGCUCCGAUUUCUCGGGGUUAUCCCAGAGUCUGGGGCAGGUUACUCACGUGUUACUCACCCGUUCGCCACUGAUCACCCGGUGCAAGCACCGAGAUCACCGUUCGACUUGCAUGUGUUAAGCACGCCGCCAGCGUCGUCCUGUAGCCAGGAUCAAACCUACUUA